AGAGGGUGCAAGCGUUGUUCGGAAUUACUGGGCGUAAAGGGCGUGUAGGCGGUUGAACAAGUCAGAUGUGAAAUCCCGGGGCUAAACUCCGGAAGUGCAUUUGAAACUGUUGGCUAGAGUGUUGUUAGAGGAGUGGCGGGAAUACCCAGUGGGAGAGGUGAAAAUUGUAGAUAUUGGGUGGAACACCGGUGGCGAAGGCGGCCAUCUGGGCAACAACUGACGC
rnacentral:rRNA from 1 species